AAAACUGUAAUUCCUCGGAAGCCGUUUGAGGGUGGCUUUCAAAGCGAGUCAAUUCCCAUGCUCUACCAUGUAAAAAUGCCCAACUUUACAAUAGAAAAACAUGUUUAUUCAUCACCCGUUAACACUGUAUUAAUGCUUAAAAUUAUGCAUAACUGGGGCAUUGCCGCUUUGAGUGACAACUCGGCCCCGUCACAAUUGGUUUGCUGCUCGAGGGCUAGCCGUUAGCUCUCUGCUAGGCGUCACCCCAGCUAAUCUGUGUCAUUGAACGUGACCUCUCGGCCGUUUGUCUGGUAGUGUUGGUGCAUUUUGGAGACUUUGGUGUCCUAGUUGGUGCAUUUGGAGGUCAAACAGACCGUCAAAGAACCUAUGCUCCAGUUUCUUCGGUUUCCUCUGGGUGAUCCAGAAAGGCUGAACCAAGGGAUGCGUAACAUGAGGAGACAGAUCUGGACUCCUGACAAGACGCCCCAGUGAACACUGAGAUUCAUCACUUCAGCGCUGACGUCAUGGUGUCACCACUUUGUCCACAUCAUCAUCCAAGAUCGCAGAGACGUCAUCCACGAUCUCAGAGAAGUCAUCCACGAUUGCAUUGACCGUGAUCAUGGAGACAUUGUCGACGAUCACCGAGACACGUCUAUGAUCUCAGAGACAUCGUCCACAAUCACAAAGACGUUGCCCACAAUUGCAGAGACUUUGUCCAUGAAACAAGAACAGAGGCCUCCAGCUGAAUUCACAGAAACAACAGGAUCCACCAAAGGUGAAGCACAGAGUCUGAGUGCUUUUUAGAAAUGGGUGUGGACAUGAAAAGGUUACAUCUUCAGCUCGGAGGAGGAGGGCCGGCAUCGAGUCUGUCAGUCCAGCUCACUGUCCUAACUCUGCCUGCCUGCCCACCCGUCCGCAGGAUUAAUACAAAACGAAUGCACCCCAAAAAAAAGAAGGGUAAAACAAAGAAAGGUAAGAGGACAACUUUUUGUUUAGAUCUAAAUACCUACAGCUAAAUAGAAUAAUGUCUCAUUGACUGUCAUAGUUUCAUAUGGUCAUAAAAACCCGAUAAAGAGGAGAAAAAUAAAUUAUACUGUACAUAACUUACUAAACUUAGGAAACGCUGACCAUCCUUAUAAUUAUUGUUAAUAAUAUUAUUAGACUAGAGGCAGUUUGAAGAGAAAUAAUAAAAUACAGUAUUCAAAUACAAACAGAAACACUGACUGGCUGACUUCACCUCGGCUCUGCCCGCUGGGGACAGCAGGACAAUGUUGAUUGGAGGGAGCAGGAAAACACACUGAGGGACAGAACAACGUGUGUGUGUGUGUGUGGGGUAUAGUGAAUAACAGCAGCAGCUAGAGUUGCCUGUCUUUCUGUAUCCUGGACAUUUUUUGCCCAGAAAAUCACACACACACACACACACACCAGUCGAAUGUUUUCGAGCCCCCCACCCCACCCCCCCAAAACACAAAACAGGGAUGAGAUCAAGAUAGAGGGGAGGGGGACGGAGCGAGAAGAAAAACUGGUGGAUUGUCUCACAACACAGUGCUUUUUCGUUUCUGCUCCAUGACACCAGAGAGAGGGAAAGAGACUCCCCUUCUCCACCCCCCACCUCCCCACAAAAAAGUGGGACAGUCCAUGCUGUACUGGUCAGUCCUGGCUGGACGGUCCCAUUGGAUUCCAAAACUUGAGGGGUGUGGGGGGAGUGGGCAGUCACAAAAAUACAGAGAAAAAUAGGGAAGUUUGUGGGGAGGGGGGCGCUGACAGCACGCUGCGAGGUCGAAGAAAAGAUAUCUUUUUGUUAAAAAUAAACAUGUCUGAUGUCUUUCAGGUGCUUUACAACAAAAGGGGAAAAAAGAAAAGUCUCUUUUUUCUAUUAUUAUUCAAACUUGUAGCACAAAACAACAAAUCACAUUCACAAGCCACUUAUUGGCACCGUGUACCUGAGUGAGAAUAUUAUAGAACCAAAGAACAAAAAAGCUGUUUUUUUUU